rnacentral:rRNA from 1 species
UAGGGAAUCUUCCACAAUGGACGCAAGUCUGAUGGAGCAACGGCCGCGUGAGUGAAGAAGGUUUUCGGACCGUAAAGCUCUGUUGUUGGUGAAGAAGGAUAGAGGUAGUAACUGGCCUUUAUUUGACGGUAAUCAACCAGAAAGUCACGGCUAACUACGUGCCAGCAGCCGCGGUAAAUCGUAGGUGGCAAAGCGUUGUCCGGAUUUAUUGGGC